CUGCAGUCGAGCGGAUGAGAGGAGCUUGCUCCUGGAUUCAGCGGCGGACGGGUGAGUAAUGCCUAGGAAUCUGCCUGGUAGUGGGGGACAACGUUUCUAAAGGAACGCUAAUACCGCAUACGUCCUACGGGAGAAAGCAGGGGACCUUCGGGCCUUGCGCUAUCAGAUGAGCCUAGGUCGGAUUAGCUAGUUGGUGAGGUAAUGGCUCACCAAGGCGACGAUCCGUAACUGGUCUGAGAGGAUGAUCAGUCACACUGGAACUGAGACACGGUCCAGACUACUACGGGAGGCAGCAGUGGGGAAUAUUGGACAAUGGGCGAAAGCCUGAUCCAGCCAUGCCGCGUGUGUGAAGAAGGUCUUCGGAUUGUAAAGCACUUUAAGUUGGGAGGAAGGGCAGUAAAUUAAUACUUUGCUGUUUUGACGUUACCGACAGAAUAACCACCGGCUAACUCUGUGCCAGC
rnacentral:rRNA from 1 species